rnacentral:tRNA from 1 species
GGGGCUAUAGCGCAGUUGGAAGCGCGUUUGACUGGCAGUCAAAAGGUCACGGGUUCGACCCCCGUUAGCUCCA